GCUUUUUACUCAAUAGUAACAUAAUUUCUCAACUAAAUGCAAAGUACAUAAUCAACCUUCCGUAUUUCACUCAACUUCAAAACAUAUUAUCAAUUCAUUGAAAAUGAAUCAGAGAAUAUGACAUAUGAUUUUGAAAACCUCUAGAUGUCUAUUUUCUUUUAGAGGAAACUAUGAAUUAAAAUAGUUAUUAGGUAAUGAGAUGUGUACAAUUUAGUAUAAUCUACCAAAAAUAGACAGUUUCAGACCAUAUAAUUAGAAAUUACUUGAAAAAUACUAAACCUCAUGAAAUAAAGCUGAAAUUUAAACCACAAGAUCACUACACAUUAUACUUAAUAUGGAAAAAGUUUCAGAUUAAUAUAACUAUAUAUGACCUUUCAAAUAAUUUGUCAAAUAUUAACCAAAAUAACUGUCCAAAAAUAACACUCUGCAAACUAACUCAUUUAGAAAAUUUGUAUAUUAUUAUAUACAUUAAAUAAAAAUAUAAACUAUACAUUUCCAGAAACCUAAGAAUAUACAGUUACAGUAAAAAUAAAUU
rnacentral:lncRNA from 1 species